rnacentral:rRNA from 1 species
UACGUAGGGUGCAAGCGUUGUCCGGAAUUAUUGGGCGUAAAGAGCUCGUAGGCGGUUCGUCACGUCGGCUGUGAAAUCCCGAGGCUCAACCUCGGGUCUGCAGUCGAUACGGGCGGACUUGAGUACUGCAGGGGAGACUGGAAUUCCUGGUGUAGCGGUGAAAUGCGCAGAUAUCAGGAGGAACACCGGUGGCGAAGGCGGGUCUCUGGGCAGUAACUGACGCUGAGGAGCGAAAGCGUGGGGAGCGAACAGG